UACGUAGGGCGCGAGCGUUGUCCGGAUUUAUUGGGCGUAAAGAGCUCGUAGGCGGCUUGUCGCGUCGAUCGUGAAAACUCACAGCUCAACUGUGAGCUUGCGGUCGAUACGGGCAGGCUCGAGUUCGGUAGGGGAGACUGGAAUUCCUGGUGUAGCGGUGAAAUGCGCAGAUAUCAGGAGGAACACCGGUGGCGAAGGCGGGUCUCUGGGCCGAUACUGACGCUGAGGAGCGAAAGCGUGGGGAGCGAACAGG
rnacentral:rRNA from 1 species